CUGUUCUGAGAUUAUGGUUGGAGGCCAAUUUGGUUUUGGUUCGUGUUUUCGCAUGGGAAGCUGAUGAAAUACAUCUUAGAGUUAUUUUAUUUUAUUUUAUUUUAUUUUAUGAUAAGGCCACCCCUCUAUAUAAAUGAGAGAAUCAUAGUCGAUUAAGGGAUUCAACAGUCGUCAAAAAAAGACAUCUACCUUUUGUCCUAACUCUCUAUCCUUGCUAUUCAUCAUGUCUCUCGAUAAGAUUUUUUGGCAUAAAAUAACCAGUUUUUUUAUCUCAGCCUGUAAAAUGCUCACAUGUAAGGAAGAUCAGCGAUAUUUUUGGUAAACAAAAGGACUACUAGAAAACCUGGGGAAGUAAAUAGUUUCAUCUCCUUCUCUCAACUACUAUGUAUAGUGUGUUCGUGCGUUGCUAAGUUUAUACUAAAAAUACAC
rnacentral:lncRNA from 1 species